GAUGAAGAACGUAGCAAAAUGCGAUACUUGGUGUGAAUUGCAGAAUCCCGUGAACCAUCGAGUUUUUGAACGCAAGUUGCGCCCGAAGCCUUUUGGCCGAGGGCACGUCUGCCUGGGCGUCACGCAUCGCGUCGCCCCCCACAAUUCUCCGUAAAGGGAACGUGUGUUUUGGGGGCGGAUAUUGGUCUCCCGUGCUCAUGGCGUGGUUGGCCGAAAUAGGAGUCCUUUCGAUGGACGCACGAACUAGUGGUGGUCGUAAAAACCCGCGUCUUUUGUUUCGUGCUGUUGCUCGCAAGGUAAACUCUUUAAAAACCCCAAUGUGUCGUCUCUUGACGACGCUUCGACCGCGACCCCAGGUCAGGCGGGACUACCCGCUGAGUUUAAGCAUAUCAAUAAGCGGAGGA
rnacentral:misc_RNA from 1 species